AUGCCGAGCCUCCUUCCUCAUGACCUUUGCCACGGGCGGAGUUCCUCACGCUGGCUCCUGGCAGGUGCUGAUCACUGCCUCCCACGGUUAGUAAGAACUGGGCCUCUGAGGACAGUCCCCACAGGAAGGAACAAGGGCAGAGAGUUGUGCAUGGUGACAGAGGCCUUAGGAUGGGAAGACAUGUGUGCAGCCAACUCUCAGCUCCCUUCCCUGCACUGGCCCCAGUGCCGCAGCCCCCACCCCACACUCCACCGCGUUAUCAGGGGCCCAAUCCCACUUGUUGAAAAAUGCUUGAAGCAAACGCACCACGUCGCUCCAAUGUGA
rnacentral:lncRNA from 1 species